UCACUGAAGUGGUUCCUCAGUGUGUC
rnacentral:piRNA from 1 species